rnacentral:rRNA from 1 species
UAAUACGAACCGUACGAACGUUAUUCGGAAUCACUGGGCUUAAAGAGUGCGUAGGCGGCCUAGCAAGUUGGGUGUGAAAUCCCUCGGCUCAACCGAGGAACUGCGCCCAAAACUGUUAGGCUUGAGGGAGACAGAGGUGAGCGGAACUAAUGGUGGAGCGGUGAAAUGCGUUGAUAUCAUUAGGAACACCGGUGGCGAAGGCGGCUCACUGGGUCUCUUCUGACGCUGAGGCACGAAAGCUAGGGGAGCGAACGGGAUUAGAUACCCCGGUAGUCCUAGCUGUAAACGAUGAGCACUAGGUUGUGGGACCUUCCACAGUUUCACGACCGUAGCGAAAGUGUUAAGUGCUCCGCCUGGGGAGUAUGGUCGCAAGGCUG